AGAAAAUUAGUUAAAAUAUAACAUUAAUUUGUCAAAUUAAAAUUAAUUAAAAAUUAUUUUCUU
rnacentral:tRNA from 1 species